rnacentral:rRNA from 1 species
AUUGAACGCUGGCGGCAGGCCUAACACAUGCAAGUCGAGCGGAGCGGCGUACGGGUGAGUAAUGCCUAGGAAUCUGCCUGGUAGUGGGGGAUAACGUCCGGAAACGGGCGCUAAUACCGCAUACUAUCUGAUGCGCCUAGGUCGGAUUCGCUAGUUGGUGGGGUAAAGGCCUACAAAGGCGACGCUCAGUAACUGGUCUGAGAGGAUGAUCAGUCAAACUGGAACUGGAACACGGUCCAACACCCUAGGGGGGGCAGCGGUGGGGAAUAUUGGAAAAUGGGCGAAAGCCUGAGCCAGACAUGCGGCGUGUGUGAAGAAGGUCUUCGGAUGGUAAGGCACUUUAAGUUGGGAGGCAUUACCAACAGAAUAAGCACCGGCUAACUACGUGCCAGCAGCCGCGGUAAUAC